AUAAUACAAGGUAGAAAUAUAUUGCAAUACAUAUUUUUAACUUCGAACCUACAUAAACCAUGAUUUUCAUCGACAUUUUAUAUUAUUUGGUUAAUUUUAAUUUAUGUUUGAGAAAGGCAAUACUAAUAAUCCUCUUCAUUAUACUUGUUUUCAGCGUGUAUAGUGGCAUAGCAUAUAAAAAAAAAUGUGACAGAAUACGUCCAUAUAACAUAAUAAUGCUUAGAUAACCCACACUACAUCUUAAGUAUAGCAUAUCCGAAAGUGAUUGUCCGAAAUACAGGUUUCCGAAUAAGGAACUAAUUUUACGCCAAUUCCUUAUUCAGAGGCCAUAAUUUCGGAUAUUUGUUCGGAUAAUUCUAGAAUAGCACAGCUAUAUAUUCAUUAUUAUUGACUAUUUUUAAUGUAAGAUUUUUUAAAUUUAUAUGUCUGAUACAGUUCUUGAAAAAAUUUCCGACCCUUACUUCUAGAGAAGACUUUCCGAUAGCUGAAUACCAGUCAUGAUUUAGCUAUCCCAUUCCGUUCUUAUACCUAAACAGUUACAAGGGGAUAUGAUUAAAGAUGCGAAGCGAUUUCUAUGCGUCAACUAGUUCCUUAUUCCCUUUUUCAAUACGAAUAAGGAACUAUGUAAUCAGUGAAUGAAACUUAUUAGAGAUGUACUGCAAAUAAUGUUUUUGUUUAUACCCAACCUACAUUAACAAUGAUUUUCAUUGAUUUAAUAGUCUCUUUUGGUUCAUUUUAAUAGUUUGUUUAGUAGGAAAAUGCUAGUUCCUUAUUCGAUUUGAAUAAGGAAUAAGGAACCAGUUCCUUAUUCCCUUUUCAAUCCGAAUAAGGAACUAUGUUAUCAUAAAAUGAAACUUAAUAGAGAUGUGCUGCAAUGAAUGUUUUUUGAUACCCAACCUACAUUUAUAAUGAUUUUCAUUGAUUUAUUGGUACCCUUGGUUCAUUUUAAUAUUUUGUUUAGUAUGAACAUUCCAGUUCAUUAUUCGAUUUGAAUAAGGAAUAAGGAACCAGUUCCUUAUUCCUUAUUCAAACCGAAUAAGGAACUAUGUUAUCAUUGAAUAAAACAAAGUAGAAAUGUAGUGCAAUUAAUAUUUGUUACACCCGACAUACAUUUACAAUAAUUUUCGUUGAGUUAUUUGUCUCGUUGGUUCAUUUUGACUUAUAAUUUAUAGAAAGAAAAUUCCAGUUCCUUAUUCGAUUUGAAUAAGGAAUAAGGAACCGGUUCCUUAUUCCUUAUUCACACAAAAUAAGGAACUGAAUAAUCAUCACUUAAAACUUAGUAGAAAUGUAUUGCAAUUAGAAUUUUACAUAUACAACCAAUAUAUGAAUAAUAUGUUCAUUUAUAUGUGGUUAAUUUUGGAUUAAUGUCAUUGAUGUUCAAGUAAGAAAAUGCCAGUUCCUUAUUCGGCUUGAAUAAGGAAUAAGGAACUGUUUCCUUUUUCCUUAUUAGCCUCGAAUAUGGAACCGGAUUAUAAAUAAAACAAACAUGUUUAAAUGUAAAAGAUUGACUUUGUUAUCACAUACAUGUAAAAUAAUAGUAUAUGCUUUAGGUUUUGUAUAUGUGAAGUUGGUAUUUGAAUUAGAAAAUAUCGGUUCGGUAUAAACAAGAAAUCCUAUGCGAGCGCGAAGAAGAAACAUGAAUAUGUAACGCAAUACAUAAAGUAAAUGUAUUAGUCUUAGAGUUAUUUUGUUUUGAUUUACUUCAGAAAUGUUUGCAUUAUUGUUCUUUAAAACCCUAUAACAAAUUCGAAUCAGGAAUAAGGAACUAGGAAAAAGGAACCAACUUAAUUACUAUCAAUUUAAAAAUAUCCAUUUUUAAGAGAAUGACUAGUACGACAUAUGCAUAAUGACUUAAAAAAUACAGAUGAUUUCCCACACAAACAGUUCGUUUAACUAUGAUGAUAUCUACCUGCAGAUUCGAUUUUCAAAUAAGAAACAUGUUGAGCAAUACAAUCCAUUUACAAAUUUCAGUCGUCAUAUUCAUGUCAACGAUAUUGUCACAUUUCUUUAUUUACGCAUUAUACUGAUAUGUUUGUACAGACAACAAAAGAAAGUAGUAACAGAAUAAUGUGUUAAGAUCUGUGACUGAAGUAAGCAUUCGUGUCUCCGACUUUGCUUCAGGUCAGACCAACAGUGAUCUCAGGUUUGGACCGAUUUACCUCUCCCAUAAGUGGCUCAGCAGACCCAGGUACCAGCCAACAGGAUGGGUCACGUGCGCCGACGGCAGUCAGUAACCUAGGAACAAUUUGGUGCGCCUACUGCCAACGCAUCAGGAACUGUGUUUGCAUCAGGCGUUACUGUGCCAAUAGAACGUGCUAAUAUUCGGACAAUGGACUGCAGUUUAACGCUACAACAGCAUCACAAGAACAGAAUGCCAAAUUACAACGGAUGUCAUUACACUGACUAUGUAUCCGAUUUUACCAUGCUAUAAAAUUAAUAUGACUGAGUGUGUUUAGUAAAAAUACGUGUAUGCGUUUUGUGCAGAGGUAUCUUAAGUGACAAUAUGUGUAAUAAAUGAGUACAUCAGCAUGAUAUAACGUUAUGACUACAUGUAUACAUAUGAAGAUGUGACGAAGAAUAAUGGUGGUCAUCUUACGUGAUUUGCAACAUGAAGAAUGACGAUAUCUAUGUGUUGUGUUAACAUUUGACAGGCAACAUGAAGAAUGACGAUAUCUAUGUGUUGUGUUAACAUUUGACAGGCAACAUGAAGAAUGACGAUAUCUAUGUGUUGUGUUAACAUUUGACAG